CGCACAUGCUCUGCAGGGGUAGUUCCUCUCAUCCUCUCACCAAGAAAACUCAGCACCAGAAAGAGAAGAGGUUUGUGGAAAAGACAACAAGUUUACUCUGGGAUGUGUUAAUGCAAUGGGCUGCAUGUGUUCACCCCUCCCCAAAUCCAUGUGUUGAAAUCCGAAUCCCCAACAUGAUGGUGAGGAGGUGGAGGCUCUGGGAAGUGAUUAGGUCAUGAUGGUGAGGAGGUGGAGGAUCUGGAAGUGAUCAGGUCCUGAUGGUGAGGAGGUGGAGGAUCUGGAAGUGAUUAGGUGGUGAUGGUGAGGAGGUGGAGGAUCUGGAAGUGAUUAGGUCGUGAUGGUGAGGAGGUGGAGGAUCUGGGAAGUGAUUAGGUCGUGAUGGUGAGGAGGUGGAGGAUCUGGAAGUGAUUAGGUCGUGAUGGCGAGGAGGUGGAGGAUCUGGGAAGUGAUUAGGUCGUGAUGGUGAGGAGGUGGAGGAUCUGGGAAGUGAUUAGGUCGUGAUGGUGAGGAGGUGGAGGCUCUGGGAAGUGAUUAGGUCGUGAUGGUGAGUAGGUGGAGGAUCCGGGAAGUGAUUAGGUCGUGACGGUGAGGAGGUGGAGGAUCCGGGAAGUGAUUAGGUCGUGAUGGUGAGGAGGUGGAGGAUCCGGGAAGUGAUUAGGUCGUGAUGGUGAGGAGGUGGAGGAUCUGGAAGUGAUUAGGUCAUGAUGGUGAGGAGGUGGAGGCUCUGGACGUGAUUAGGUCGUGAUGGUGAGGAGGUGGAGGAUCUGGAAGUGAUUAGGUCGUGAUGGUGAGGAGGUGGAGGAUCUGGAAUUGAUUAGGUCGUUUUGGUGACAAGGUGGAGGAUCUGGAAGUGAUUAGGUCGUGAUGGUGAGGAGGUGGAGGAUCUGGAAGUGAUUAGGUCGUGACGGUGAGGAGGUGGAGGAUCUGGAAGUGAUUAGGUCGUCAGGGUGCAGCCCUCCUGAAUGGGAUUAGUGCCCUUAAACCAGAGGCCCCAGAGGCAUCCCUGGCUCCUUCCACUAUGAACCAGAAAGUGGGACCUCACCA
rnacentral:lncRNA from 10 species